CCUUACUGGGGGACAGGUCAGCCUUUUUGUUCUAUUCAAGCUUUCAACUGAUUGGAUGAAGCCUACUCAUAUCAGGGAGGGAAAUCUGCUUUGCUGAUUCUACUGAUUUAAAUGUUAAUCUCAUCCAAAAACACCACACAGAGACACUCAGAGACACUCAGAAUAAUGUUUGAUCAAAUAGCUAGUCAUCUUGUGGCCCAGUCAAGUUGACACAUGAAAAUAACCAUCACACUCCCUUCCUUCCUCUCUUCCUCCCUUCUUGUCCCAUCUUGGCUGUAGGGACCCAGAGUUGAGCUUCUGUUGCACUGAGCUGGAUACAGAGUGAAUGAGCAGGUUGUAGGUCAAAUGCCAUGGAUUCUUGAUUCUUAUCAAGAUUUAUUAAAUUUCUCUUGAAUAAAUGUUUCUCAAUUUGCUAUGAGCCAUAGGAAAACUUUCAGGCUUUAAAAUUUAAACCCAUUGGAUAAAAUGGAAUUCAUUCUCCCUCCCUCCUUCCUUAACUUCCUCCCUUCUUGCCAGAAUUCCUUCUUUUCCCACUAACUUCCUUUCUUCUUUCUUUCCUUUUUUUCUUUCUUCCUCCAACACAUGUUUGUUAGGGCCUCUAGCUCUACAUAGCCAUAUUAAACUUUUUGGAGAAAUAACUUGCGAAGACUGGAGAUCUAAGAACUCUGAAUGUGGGAACUGAAUGCCAGAUCUUGGAUUCUCAGUGGGAAGUGUGGCCUGGAGAAGAAGUUUACAAUGUUACAUGUUUCUGAGGACCCUUCAUACUUCAAGCUCAAGUCCAGCUUGCCAAGUUCCAGUUUUUAUCUGAUCAUCUUUGCAUCAAUAAUACAUGAAGCUGAGAUCUUCUGAAAAGAGGAUACUAUUCUCCCCCCUCACUGAAUGCUUUGCUUUUGCCAGCACCAACAUUGAUUUGGAUUUAAUAAUCUGUAGUCCUUUUGGUUUGAUCACACUUCUCAGGAAACCCCAAAAAGAGCCAUGGCCACAUAUCCACCAACAUGGAAUCAAUUGCUCCUUCUUAAUAAAUGCAAUCAUUGAACACCUGA